AGGUAUCAUGGAGCAUUGAACAUGAAGAAAAGGUUAAGAAAAAUUUCCACAGCAAAGCAUCUCAUAGAUUAUUUGAGAUGUUUAAAAAAGCUCGAAGAGAAGGGAAAAAACCUGAGUGGAUGGGAGACAUUGUCUGGAAUGGUCUUUUAGAGAAGUGGAACAUGCCAGCUUUUAGACAAAAGUGUGAAACCGCCAAAAAGAACAGGACAUCUGACAAGGGUGGUUGUUUGCACACCGGGGGAUCUAUUAGCGUGCAUGAGCAUGCUAUUCGUCUGUCACAGGAGCUUGGUCGGACAGUGCAUGUCGAUGAAAUUUUUCAGUAGACACAUAUUAGAGCAUCAACAGGACAAUUUGUCGAUGAAAGGUCUAGAAGGACACAUGAAGAGUUUCAAGCAAGAUUUUCUCAAUUAAGAUCUGAGACUGGAUCUGUUGGUGCUUCAGCUACUACUCCCCUAGACCCCGCAGAUGAGGAAAGAUUGAGGAACCAAUGCUGGAUGGAGGUUGCUGGUGAAAGGUACAAGGGACGGGUUUAUGGCAUUGGACAUGUCAGUGGUAGAGAUGACUGUGUCGAUAGUUACAUACAACAGACACAGGCAUCUUCUUCUCAGCAACCGAUUGUGCAGGACAUUUCUAACCUUCAAAAUAUAGUAUCAACCCAUGAUGAGGAACUUCGCCGACUUCGGGAGAUGAAUUCUAAAUUUGAAGGUUUUAUUGGCGCCAUAUUGCAACACCUUCCGCCUUCUGCAGCAGCAGCUGCACAAGAAUUUUUUCAAUCCCAAAAUCUUUCACAACCUAAUGUUCAGCAACCACAACAAGCACAGGAGGAUCAACCACACAAGGAUCAACCACAACAGGAUCAACCACAACAGGAUCGUUAUGAAAGAAAUUACUAGUUAUGUUUUUAGAGAGUAGUGCAUCUAGGACUUAAACUUAUUCUCUGGAGAACUUAUUUGAACUUAUAUAUUUGAUGUAAUUAAAAAAUUUAUAAG